GGGCUUGACAUCCCACGAACCUUCCCGAAAGGGUUGGGUGCCCGCAAGGGAGCGUGGAGACAGGUGGUGCAUGGCUGUCGUCAGCUCGUGUCGUGAGAUGUUGGGUUAAGUCCCGCAACGAGCGCAACCCUCACCCCUUGUUGCCACCGGGUAAGGCCGAGCACUCUUGGGGAACUGCUAGCGUUAAGCUGGAGGAAGGCGGGGAUGACGUCAAGUCAUCAUGCCCCUUACGCCCUGGGCUACACACGUGCUACAAUGGCCGGUACAAAGGGAUGCAAUACCGCGAGGUGGAGCUAAUCCCAGAAAACCGGUCUAAGUUCAGAUUGCAGUCUGCAACUCGACUGCAUGAAGGAGGAAUCGCUAGUAAUCGCGCAUCAGAACGGCGCGGUGAAUACGUUCCCGGGCCUUGUACACACCGCCCGUCACACCACGAAAGCCGGCUGUACUCGAAGUCGCUGAGA
rnacentral:rRNA from 1 species